rnacentral:rRNA from 1 species
UACGUAGGGGGCAAGCGUUGUCCGGAUUUAUUGGGCGUAAAGAGCUCGUAGGCGGUUCGAUGAGUCGGCUGUGAAAUCUCCACGCUUAACGUGGAGGGGUCAGUCGAUACUGUCGUGACUCGAGUCCGGUAGGGGAGAAUGGAAUUCCCGGUGUAGCGGUGAAAUGCGCAGAGAUCGGGAGGAACACCCGUAGCGAAGGCGGUUCUCUGGGCCGGUACUGACGCUGAGGAGCGAAAGCGUGGGGAGCAAACGGG